rnacentral:rRNA from 1 species
GUGCCAGCAGCCGCGGUAAUACGGAAGGGGCAAGCGUUGUUCGGAAUUAUUGGGCGUAAAGGGCGCGUAGGUGGUUUUGUGUGUCUAUCGUGAAAGGGUACAGCUCAACUGUAGCGAGUCGGUAGAAACUGCAGGACUUGAGGCUGGGAGGGGCUGGUGGAAUUCCCUGUGUAGCGGUGAAAUGCGUAGAGAUGGGGGAGAACACUCGUGGCGAAGGCGGCCAGCUAGACCAGUUCUGACACUGAGGCGCGAUAGCGUGGGGAGCAAACAGGAUUAGAUACCCGCGUAGUCC